GCGCAGAGUAGAAGCGUUCAGCCGCGCGGUGCCCCACGCAUCCCGGCGGGAAAUUGCUCUUUCA
rnacentral:ncRNA from 2 species